rnacentral:rRNA from 1 species
AGUGAACGCUGGCGGUAGGCCUAACACAUGCAAGUCGAACGGCAGCACAGUAAGAGCUUGCUCUUACGGGUGGCGAGUGGCGGACGGGUGAGGAAUACAUCGGAAUCUACUUUUUCGUGGGGGAUAACGUAGGGAAACUUACGCUAAUACCGCAUACGACCUACGGGUGAAAGCAGGGGAUCUUCGGACCUUGCGCGAUUGAAUGAGCCGAUGUCGGAUUAGCUAGUUGGCGGGGUAAAGGCCCACCAAGGCGACGAUCCGUAGCUGGUCUGAGAGGAUGAUCAGCCACACUGGAACUGAGACACGGUCCAGACUCCUACGGGAGGCAGAAGUGGGGAAUAUUGGACAAUGGGCGCAAGCCUGAUCCAGCCAUACCGCGUGGGUGAAGAAGGCCUUCGGGUUGUAAAGCCCUUUUGUUGGGAAAGAAAAACAGCAGGUUAAUACCCCGCUGUUCUGACGGUACCCAAAGAAUAAGCACCGGCUAACUUC